GAAAAUCUGUGGUAUGAUGAAUCGUCAUCUAUAUAAAUAUACAAACAUAUAUUUUAAGAAAUAAUGGAUAUUGACACUCUAAAAUGCUGGUGUGUCAAAGCUGGUUACCCAUCAGUGUCUUACGCAAUCCCUUUCGCACGUUCAAAUUCUCAUUUGUGAACAUCCUCCCAUGAAUCAAGCCUGAAAUUUUAGGAGAAACCCUACAAUUAAUAGCAUGCUACCCGCACAAACAAAUCUUCCCUUUAUUAUGGAUGCAUGAGCUGAUGCAAACCAUUCCUUUCAUUUUUUAUUUCUCAAUCGUGCCCAUACGUUGCUUACAACAAAGUAAUACUGAGAAGAAAUCUGGAGAAAAGGAGGUGUAACUGACAAAUUGAUCAUUAUAAUUAGGUGCUUUGUGUUAAUCACGUCGCUGGACACCACAAAAAACUGAGGCAUCUAUGCAGAAGCAAGACACGGACCAUUAAUGAAUGAAGUGCAGCACAGGGCUAAAGUUAAUAUUCCGAAGUCAGGAAUUGAUUGCCUUAUAAAAUUGGCAGUGAAAGAAUCAUGCAGAACCCGAGGCUAAGAUAAUUAGCCACAGAGGUUCAGAACAGCGUUCGAUUUAAUUGUAUGUUCGAAACGUCAAACACUUGAGAGUUCACAGUACCUUCAAGGCUUCAAUCCCAUCAACAGCAACCACCAUCUUAG
rnacentral:lncRNA from 1 species